AGCUUUGCACAGUGGCAGUAUCAUAGCCAGUGAGGUUUAUCGGAGGCACGAUUAUUGCUAAUUUAAAAACAAACAAACAAAACACAGUGGUACAUUUGCACAAUGGAAUACUAC
rnacentral:snRNA from 1 species